CCAGACUCCUACGGGAGGCAGCAGUGGGGAAUAUUGGGCAAUGGGCGCAAGCCUGACCCAGCAACGCCGCGUGAAGGAAGAAGGCUUUCGGGUUGUAAACUUCUUUUCUGAGGGACGAAGCAAGUGACGGUACCUUAGGAAUAAGCCACGGCUAACUACGUGCCAGCAGCCGCGGUAAUACGUAGGUGGCAAGCGUUAUCCGGAUUUACUGGGUGUAAAGGGCGUGUAGGCGGGAAAGCAAGUCAGAUGUGAAAACCACGGGCUCAACCUGUGGCCUGCAUUUGAAACUGUUUUUCUUGAGUCCUGGAGAGGCAGACGGAAUUCCUAGUGUAGCGGUGAAAUGCGUAGAUAUUAGGAGGAACACCAGUGGCGAAGGCGGCUUUCUGGACUGUAACUGACACUGAGGUACGAAAGCGUGGGGAGCAAACAGGAUUAGAUACCCUUGUA
rnacentral:rRNA from 1 species